GGGUCGGUGCCCGAGUGGCUAAAGGGGAUGGACUGUAAAUCCAUUGGCGAGAGCCUACGCUGGUUCGAAUCCAGCCCGGCCCA
rnacentral:tRNA from 1 species